rnacentral:rRNA from 1 species
UACGUAGGGUGCAGGCGUUAAUCGGAAUUACUGGGCGUAAAGCGUGCGUAGGCGGUUCGCUGUGUCCGAUGUGAAAGCCCCGGGCUUAACCUGGGAAUGGCAUUGGAAACUGGCGGGCUUGAGUGCGGCAGAGGGGGGUGGAAUUCCGCGUGUAGCAGUGAAAUGCGUAGAGAUGCGGAGGAACACCGAUGGCGAAGGCAGCCCCCUGGGUCGACACUGACGCUCAGGCACGAAAGCGUGGGGAGCAAACAGG